rnacentral:rRNA from 1 species
GACGAACGCUGGCGGCGUGCUUAACACAUGCAAGUCGAACGCUGAAGCUCAGCUUUUGUUGGGUGGAUGAGUGGCGAACGGGUGAGUAACACGUGAGUAACCUGCCUCCUUCUUUGGGAUAACGCCCGGAAACGGGUGCUAAUACUGGAUAUUCACUCGUCUUCGCAUGGGGGUUGGUGGAAAGGGUUUUUCUGGUGGGGGAUGGGCUCGCGGCCUAUCAGCUUGUUGGUGGGGUGAUGGCCUACCAAGGCUUUGACGGGUAGCCGGCCUGAGAGGGUGACCGGUCACAUUGGGACUGAGAUACGGCCCAGACUCCUACGGGAGGCAGCAGUGGGGAAGAUUGCACAAUGGGCGCAAGCCUGAUGCAGCGACGCCGCGUGAGGGAUGGAGGCCUUCGGGUUGUGAACCUCUUUCGCUCAUGGUCAAGCCGCAACAAUGGUUGUGGUGAGGGUAGUGGGUAAAGAAGCGCCGGCUAACUACGUG